UGAUGAGGAAGAGGAGGCUUGAGUAAGAACCCUAAUUUGGGGUGUUACUAAGGGCACGACAAAAGCUACUUCAAAAUACUUGGGCCCAGACUGUCGUGCUGUGGUUGGGUGUUGUGGAGUAAUUUUUGGGUGCCCCUAAGAGCAUCCUUAAUUUGUUUGCUUGAAUUGGUAAGUAAGUUUGUGGUGUGUGACGAUGCAGUUGUAUGUUAUUAGUUG
rnacentral:misc_RNA from 1 species